UGAGCAAGUGACCUUGAGACAUAAGGUUGU
rnacentral:piRNA from 1 species